CAGUGCUGAAGAUGUUGGUUCAGUCGUCCAGUGCCCUAUGAUUUAUCUAGAGCCAAAGGAUCUAGGCUCAGGUGCCCAAUGCAAACAUCAUAUCAUGAUUGUGGGACUCGUAUUGUGCUUGCUAUAUCACAUGUUCCUGAGAAGCCAAGAAAAGAAUAAUAGGUGUAGGAAUAUAAGUAACAAACCUAAAAUCUUUUUGAAAUUAAUAGAUAAUAAAAGUUAUAGAAUACUAACUCCUGCUCUCAAUGCUAACCAAAGUGAGUGUGUCAACAGUCAAAGUAUUAAAAGGAAAAAUUCCAAUUUCAUCAAAAAGGAAAUUAAAACUCUAAGUUUAAGCAUCCUUUCAGUCGCUGUAUAUCCUUUGAAUUGUACAAUGCAACUAAAUCUAUUAUGCUGACCUCAUAUUUAAAAUAAUUUGAAAGAAUUUGAUUUCUUCAACACUGACAUCCUCUUUUUUCUUGGAUAAUUGUAGCUUCUGUAGUGGACACAAUGUCUAAUAAGAGGGUAGUUUGCUAUUCUUGCUUUGUAUUCCUAAGCAUCAUGCA
rnacentral:lncRNA from 1 species